rnacentral:rRNA from 1 species
UGGGGAAUAUUGGACAAUGGGCGCAAGCCUGAUCCAGCCAUGCCGCGUGAGUGAUGAAGGCCCUAGGGUUGUAAAGAUCUUUCACCGGUGAAGAUAAUGACGGUAACCGGAGAAGAAGCCCCGGCUAACUUCGUGCCAGCAGCCGCGGUAAUACGAAGGGUGCUAGCGUUGUUCGGAUUUACUGGGCGUAAAGCGCACGUAGGCGGACUUUUAAGUCAGGGGUGAAAUCCCGGGGCUCAACCCCGGAACUGCCUUUGAUACUGGAAGUCUUGAGUUGUGUAGAGGUGAGUGGAAUUCCGAGUGUAGAGGUGAAAUUCGUAGAUAUUCGGAGGAACACCAGUGGCGAAGGCGGCUCACUGGACCAUUACUGACGCUGAGGUGCGAAAGCGUGGGGAGCAAACAGG